rnacentral:lncRNA from 1 species
GUGAACCAAAACUGAAAGGCGAGCAUAUCCUCACAACUAUCCUGGGUGUUCGAAUGGAUCAUUCCAAGUGGUGGGACUUGACUGCUGUUGUAAUCAUUCUCAUAUCAUACAGAGUUCUCUUCUUCACUAUUCUCAAGUUGAGGGAGAGAACUUCACCAUUGUUCCGAAGGCUUUACACCAAGAGAACUCUGCAUCAUCUUGAGAAGAGGCCAUCAUUCAGGAAGAAGCCAUCAUUUCCUUCAAAGAGGCACCAAACUCUCAGUUCGUUGUCUUCUCAAGAGGGUCUUAACUCUCCCCUUCAUUAGCAGCAACAUCAUAAUCAUUAUUUUUAUUACAAGUUUAAAGGAUGUAAUCCACUUCUAUUGUAAUGAAUGAUCACACAUUUUCGAACACAAUGGGUGCUAUGGUUUGGUUGUUAUUUGGUUUUUAAUACCUACAAUGAGAGUGAAACGCUCUUCAUGAUAAAUGAAUUUCAUCAUGUUUUCACCACUUUAUUUCAUUGCACUAUGACUAGUUCAUUUUUGUCUCAGUGACAGUGCAUAAAGUUCAAUAUCAUAUGGUGAAGAAACAGUAGGACAUCAACCUAUGAGACCAAUAUGGCAACACACUAAUAAGAAAAACAGAACAAAUAUAAAGUUUCUGUUGGAAUUUUAUGUUAUGGAAAAGAUUGGUAUGCUUCUGAACAAGAAAACAGAAGUCAUGCCAGUUUUAAAUCCUAGAUGUUACUUUGUUUUCUUACUCCUGACUUCUUCUUGAAUGAUUUUAAUAACCAUUAAAAGUCUAAGACGUGCUCAAUUAAGAUUUGUGAUGGUGACAGUAGAGUUAAUUUAGAGUUGAACAGAUCCAAGACACAGAAAUAUUGACAAGGAUAUGAACAUAGUAAACAAGAAAAGAUAUAGAACUACUGCUUAAAUCCAAACUGUCCCUAAGAGUCGUCACUAAUUACAGCUAUGCUUAAAAUUUUGAAUCUAUCACCAAAAAAAAAAAACAAUAAUCCAAAAGAAAGCCAAACAUAAAAUUUCUGAAGAUAGCUUUCAUAGAAUGAUUCCAUUGGGUUUACCCAUAGACAGCUUCUAUCCCAUUACAUCCUCCCUCUGCUCCUGGUCAUCUCAACCUCGUAAAUGUGCUCUAAAAAGGAAUAGAUUCCCUUAAACUUCCAAUCCUGAGACUUCCUGAUGAAAUCUAGAUUCCAAUAUCCUUCAGCUUCUGACAAGAUCAAUGGCCCACCACUAUUGCCUACUUGAUAAUCACUGCUCUGAACAAAUUCACCCCAUUUUCAAUGUACCUGCCCAAUGCACUCAUCGUGCAAAGAGAGUACCAUCAAACAAUUCCCCACCUUGUAGCAAGUAUGCUUUGAGAAUGCACCCACCCUCUCCUAAGUCCCUUUCAUAAAUACACUCUAAAAGAUCUCCACACCUCCUUAGAGCACCACUCUCCCUCUUCCUCGCCUUACUCACUAACCACCAGUCCCUACCAUCUAUCACAUCCCUUUAAAUGGCAAACUCAUACAUCUUGUCCGAAUUCCUGACAAACUCCCUACUAUCUCCUGGAAAACGUAGCACCUCCCACUAGAUUAGGUGAUUUUUUUUUCUCUCCUCAUCCUGCGAAAGUCCCUCUAUGACUUCUGUUAACCUCUUCUUGAUACUGAGUGAUGAAAACCAAUAACAACCAAGAUGGCAUUGCUAAAGUGUUUCUAAUCAAGUUGCCAGCUGUCUUUACAUUCCUUUUCAUAUAAGAAACAGAAAAUUAUAUUUUGAAAACAAAGAAUGGUUUCUAAAUACUUUGCCUAUAUAGGUUGUAUAAUCCAACAACUACUGCAUGGAUUUCCCAAUACUCCCCCUCUAGCUGGUAAGUAAAUGUUCUUCACUCUCAGCCUGUUUGUGAUAGGUUAGAAUACUUGAGUUGCAAGUCCCUUGGUAAGUAUGUUGGCCAAUUGUGAGAAUAUAUAAUGGGUGAAUACCAACCCAGUAUCCAGUUUUCCCUUAAUGAAAUGACAAUCAACUUUAACAUGCCUACUUUAGUCAUGUUAACUAGAUUGUGAGCUAUACCGAUAGCCAACUUGUUGUUACAGUAAAACUUCAUAAGGUCUUCCCAACUUAUUCUAAGAUCACUACAAAUAAUUUUAUCUAGAGAAGCUCACAUAGCCCAUGCACCAUGGCUUGAAAUUCUACUUUGUAACUUAACCUUCUUAGGAUUAUGCAUAAAUGACUCACCACACUCACAACAUAUGUUAUAUCAGGAGUGGUAUGUGAUAGGUAACUUAACUUAUCUACCAACCUUUGAUACUUCUUUCUCUGUACUGGAGGACUCUUAGAAUCCUUCAUCAAGCUUGUGACCAGCCUCAACUGGUGUAUCUAACUACCUACACCCACUAGUAUUGUUUCUCUAAGAAGACCUGAAAUAUACUUCUAUUGUGAAAUCACAAUUCCCUCAUUUAAUUGAGCAACUUCAAUACUUGGAAAGUAUUUAAAUAUUUCUAGGUCUUUAAUUUGAAACUCCUUUUUCAACUCCUCUUUCAAUUUUCUUAUUUCUUCUGAAUCAUCUCCUAUCACAACAAUAUCAUCAAUAUACACAAUGAGAGUAGUUAUUUUCCCAUUCACAAAGUAUUUAAGAAACAAUAUAUGAUCCCAUUGGCUCUGGAUAUAAUUCAAGCUCUUCAUUGUCUUAAAAAACCUUCCAGACCAAGCUCGAGAGAUUAGUUAAGCCCAUAUAGAGCCUCCUUCAAUCAACGGACCUUGUUUCCCAAGACAUUUUCUUCUAUACCAGGUGGUUUCUCCAAAACCUUCUUUAAAUUCUCAUGCAUGAAGGAAUACAUCUUUACAUCAAACUAUUGCAAAGGCCAAUCAAAGUUAGUAACAAAGGACAACAACAUACAAAUAGUACUCAUCUUUGCCACUAGAGCAAAGGUUUCUUUAUAAUCUAUCCCAUAAGAUAAAUAUAUCCUUUAACUACCAUUCUUGCCUAAUCCCUCUCAAGUGUGUCAUUCGUCAUAUAUUUUACUAUAAAUACCCACUUGCACCUAACUUGUUUCUUUCAAGUAAGUAGAUCCACAAUUUCCCAACUAUUAUUUUUUUUAAGGCACUUAUCUCUUCUUGCAUUGCCUUCCUCCACUUCUCAUCACCUUUAGUGCCUCUUGAGUAGUUUAGGUAUGUUGAAGUUGAUAAGUUUAGUAGCAAAUGCUCUGUAAGAUGCAAAAAGGUUAUGAAAAUAAACAAAUUUGGUAAAAAGGUGUUGAAUUCAAUGUUUUUUCCUUUUCUUACAGCAAUAGGUAAAUUAAGAUCAUCAAACACAAUGAAACUAUGCUCAAGUUGAAUUUCAAUAACUUGGAGAAUUAGAAUUCAUUAAUUCUAAGAAUUGAGAAAUUACAAAUAAAUAAGAAAAAACAAUCUCAUAAAAGAUUCAACAACCUAACAAACCCAAAACUAACCAGAUUUGAUGAAAUAGAACAAUUAGAAAAAUAAAAACCAAAUCUUAUGCCUACAAAAUAGGAAUUUGAAUUUCUAUCCCAACUAACUCUUAAAUCUUCGAUUCUUAACUAACUCCUAAAUCUUCAAUUCUUAACCAACUCUUAAAUCUUAGACACUCUUCCUUAAGUUGGUGCAUAGAUGUCUAUCAUUCCCAACUUGUGAACAAGAAACUCGAAGUUAGAACUUAGGAGUCCUUUGGUUAGGAUAUUUGUUAUUUGUUGCAUUGUAGGAACAAAAAAAAAGCAUAUUGCACCAACCUUAAGUUUUUCCUUCAUGAAAUGUUUAUCAAUCUCGAUGUGUUUUGUUUUGUCAUGUUGCAGUAGAUUGUGUGCAAUACUGAUGACUACUUUAUUGUCAUAAUACAAUUUCACAGGAAGAGUAUUGAGUCUCCUUAGUUCUUCUAGGACACGUUUCAACCAGAACAUCUUGCAAAUUCCAUGUGUUAUGGCUUUGAACUCUGCUUUAGCAUUACUUCGUGCCACCACAUUUUGCUUCUUACUUCUCUAAGUAACCAGAUUACACCAUACAAACAUAUAAUACCCAAAGGUAGAUCUUCUAUCGAUGAUGGAUCUGGCCUAAUUAGCACCAGUUUACACCUCAACUCCUUGCUCAUUCUUCUUGAACAAUAAUCCUUUCCCUUAAGUACUCUUCAAGUACCUUAUAAUGCUAUAGACAACUUCAAGGUGUUCUUCGUGUGGAGAGGGUAUGAAUUAAAGUACCAAUCUCAUUGCAACAAUGAUGUUUGGUCGAGUGUAUGAUAAGUAUAUCAGUUUGUCAACCAACUUUUAAUAUUGUGUUGUAUGUACAAGCGUUUCUUUGUCAUUUUUUUCUUAGCUUCAACUUGUAUUCUAUAGGAGUGCCAAUUGGUCUACAACCACUCAUACUUGUUUCUUUUAGGAGAUCAAGAAGGUACUUUCUUUGUGAAAUGAUGAUGCACUUCUUGGAAUGUGCAACUUCCAUUCCAAGAAAGUACCUCAAUGACCCCCAAGUCCUUAAUCUCAAAUUUAGAAGCUAGAAUCUUUUUUAGCUUUUUCAUCUCAAGCAAGCCAUCUUCAAUGAGAAUAUCGCCCACAUAGACAAUUAACAUGUUUAUCUUCCCUUCGGGUAAGAACUUCAUAAAUAAGGCAUGAUCAGCUUGUCCCUCAAUAUAACCUUGUUUCUUUACGAACCAAGUGAAUUUAUCAAACCAUGCCCAAGGCAAUUGUUUAAGUCCAUAUAAAGACCUUCUUAGCUUGCACACCUUUGAUCAUAAUCUUUCAAUGAAGCCCCGAGGAGAGUCCAUAUAAACUUCUUCUUCCAAAUACCCAUCGAGAAGUGUAUUUUUCACAUCUAACUAUUGCAAUAGUCAAUCCUGAUUCACAACAAUUGAUAAGAGCAUGCCCAUUGUGUUUAGCUUGGCUAAUGGAGUGAAUGUUUCUAAAUAUUCAAUAUUAUAUAUACGUCUAUGUGAAUCCCUUCGCUACUAGUCAAGCUUUAUAUUUUUCUAAAGAGAUAUCAAAGUUGUAUUUCAUUGUAAAGACCCAUUUGUAGCUAAUCAUGGACUUUUCUUCAAGCAAACUCAUUACUUCCCAUGUCUUGUUCUUUUCAACAGCUCUCAUUUCUUCAAGAACAAAUUCCUUCCAUUUAGGAACAUUAAGAUCAUCUUGUAUAUUUUUAGGAAUGUCUAUUCUAGAAAGUUGUGAAAUAAAUGCAAGAAAAGAAUGAGACAAUUUUUCAUAGGACACAAAGUUAGACAAAUGAUGUUUAGUACAUUGCCUAGUACCUUUACUAUAAGCAAUUGGAACAUAUAAAUUAUUAAUAGACUCAAUUUAGGAAUUAGAAGAAUUGGACUCAAACAUGAAUUUACCUAGAGGACUAACAGAAAUUAGAUAUGUUCUCGAGUUAGGCUCUUGGGGCUACUACAAAGUGGACUUCUUUUUACUUUGUUCAAGGUUCUUCCUUGAAUAGACAAUGAACUCAUUUGCUUUUUUUCUUGGUUUCUCACAUAUUUCAAGUUCUAUGUGAUUUUUUAAGGGCAUGAUUGUCUGUUAUCCAUUCUUUUUAGUAUUUAACCAAUUUACUUCUAGGGUUGUUCCAGGUAUUCUUGAAGUAGGGUUUGAGCUUGGUAUGAGGAUUUCUAAAACAGGGGUUGCCAUGGGUGUUGGUGCUUUUAAAGGUGAUUGAGCAUAUUUUAUUUUAUUUUUAAUCUAGGACAAGCAUCAUAGAAGACGUUUCUAUGUGGAUGUUAUUAAAGAAAGAAUCUUCAUUAUAACUCUUCCCCUCAAGAUGAUGAUUAAAACCAUAAUAUUUUAUUUUAAAAAAAAGUGAUAUUCAUGGUAACAAACAAUUUUUUAAAAAUUGGAUCAAAAUGGACAUAUCCUUUUCAUGUUGGAGAAUAACCAAUAAAAAUGCUUUUUUUUAACUCUUGAAUCAAGUUUCACCCAAUUAUGAUUGUGAAUGUGAACAAAUGUGACACAACAAAAAAUUUUAAGAGGAAUAUUGACCAAAAUUCUUAAUGAGGGAAAACACUUUUUGAAAAAAUAUGAAGGUGUUUGAAACUGCAAGACCCUUGAUGGCCUCCUAUUGAUCAAAUUGGUGGUUGUAAGAAUAGUCUCCCCCUACAAAUAUGUAGGGACCUUAGUUAUAAAGAUUAUGGAUUUAGCAAAUAUCAAGAAUGCGUUUUUUUUUUCUUUCAGCCACACUUUUGUUAAGGAGCAUCAUUAAAAUUACUUUGGUGCACAAUACCAUUUUUCUCCAAGUAUUUCCCUAGGAUUUGAUUAAAAUAUUCCUUCCAUUGUCACUUCAAAAAAAUUGAAUGUUUGUUUGAAAUUGAGUUUAUACCAUGUUGUGAAAAAUUUUGAAAACUUGUUCAGACUUCCCCUUUAAUAAAUAUAUCCAAGACAUGUGAGUAUGAUCAUCAAUGAAAGUGAUAAACUAUCUUUUUCCUAAGAGUGGAAAUUAUAGUCGGUCCCCAAACAUCACUAUAAAUCAUAGAAAAAGGUUUUGAUGCUUUAUGGCUAUGAAGGGAAUGAGUUAUGGUGGUAUUUUGCUAACUCACAUAUUUCACAUUGAAAUGAAGAUGGAUUUUUAUUGAUGAAUAGUUUUGGAAAAUAAUAUUUUGAAUAUUGAAAGCUUGGAUGUCCUAAUCUAAAAUUUCAUAAAUGAAAUUCAUUAUUCCUAAUACCAGAAAUAGACUUGAAACAAGUACUUGGAGGUUGUCCCUUCAAGUUAGAUCCAUCUUCAAAGAAGUAAAGUCCUGCACUUUGUUUAGCACUGUCAAUCAUGUUCCUUGAGUUCAAAUCUUGAAAUUUACAUUGAGAAUGUGAGAAAUUAACUUGACAAUUUUGAUCACGAAUUAGUUUACUGACAGACAAAAGAUUACAUGACAAAUUAGGAACAUGAAGAACAUUAUGAAGAGUGAGAGAGAAAGAAAUAACUAUGGAUCCUUUCCCCACAAUAGCCAAAAGGGAUCUUUAAGCUAUUUGAAGUUUUUAAUUCUCUGCACAAGUUUUGUAAGAAGAAAACAGAUUGGAAGAUUCAGUCAUGUGAUUAAUUUCACUAAUAUCAAUGAUCCAAGGAUGACUAGAAGUGUAAUUAAUACUGACAAAAGCGACUAUGAGGUAAUUACCUUUCUAAGUUAAUGAACAAGAGGGAGAUGGGUUAGAGUUUACAAUGAAAGACGAAAAUUGAAGCAGUUUAUAUAGGUGUUCCAGUUGGUCCUUAGUGAAAUGAAGCAUUUCCGAAGCAGUUUGUUGCCCUUGAUCAGUAUUGGAAACCUGCAAAGCUCUACCAUAUCCACUUGGCUUCUUUUUCCAGUUUUUAGGCUUCCUGUGCAAUUUCCAACAAGUCUUACAAGUAUGCAAAGCGUUUUUAUGUUGAUUAAUUUGGAUAUUUCCUUCUAUAUAUAUGGUCAAUAUAGGGGCCAUACAAGAAUGAACUGAUAGGGCUCGAGUUUGAUCCUCCAUUUCCUGGUGAACCAAAACUGAAAGGCGAGAAUAUCCUCACAACUAUCCUGGGUGUUCGAAUGGAUCAUUCCAAGUGGUGGGACUUGACUGCUGUUGUAAUCAUUCUCAUGUCAUACAGAGUUCUCUUCUUCACUAUUCUCAAGUUGAGGGAGAGAACUUCACCAUUGUUCCGAAGGCUUUACACCAAGAGAACUCUGCAUCAUCUUGAGAAGAGGCCAUCAGUCAGGAAGAAGCCAUCAUUUCCUUCAAAGAGGCACCAAACUCUCAAUUCGUUGUCUUCUCAAGAGGGUCUUAACUCUCCCCUUCAUUAGCAGCAACAUCAUAAUCAUAAUUUUUAUUACAAGUUUAAAGGAUGUAAUCCACUUCUAUUGUAAUGAAUGAUCACACAUUUUCGAACACAAUGGGUGCUAUGGUUUGGUUGUUAUUUGGUUUUUAAUACCUACAAUGAGAGUGAAACGCUC